UAUUGGAACGGAAAAAGAACUCUGUACGACAAAACGAGAGUAUAAUUCAUUAUUAUUUCACUCUUUUUUUCAACACAAACCAGUAUAACAAAAAUUUCCCGCCUAAAUGUAUUGGGGUGUUUUACCAAACUAAGCCUAUUUCACAAACUAAUUUUUAAAAUAGACGCGUGGUCAAACUAUUUACCAAACUAAGCUUAUGGGAUAAAACGCUAGUUUUGGCAUUUUCCCGAUUUUUUAACUUAAAAAAAAUUAAUUAACUAUUUUUAACUUAUUUCUAAAAAAAAAAGAAAAAAAAAAACCUUCUUUCUCCCUCAUCUCCCUUCCAUGGCCUUCCUCCAACCCCUUCCACCACCUAGGCCAACACUACUACAUUUUUAAUCAAAUACAACGGCUAAAAUAAGGCUAAUGCAACGGCUACAUAAGUAACCGUGGCAAUAGCUAGAUCUAUCGCAACGGCUGCUUCAUACUUUCUCAAUAGAAGGGUCUAAUGCAACGGCUAAGAGGUAGCCGUUGCAAUAGGGAAAUCUAAUCAUGAAAUUAUAGGCACGUAAAAAUAUUCUCCUAAAUUUUCCCCAGAAUUAAAAAGCCUUCACAUUUUCUUAAACCCACCCAAUUUAAGGCCCAUCCAAUUUAUCUAUCCUUCAUAGUUCAUAUGAGUAAUAAUCAUAAUCAUCUAGCUGUUAUCUUCCUCAGAAAAAAAAAAAACAAAAAAAAGCUGUAAAAAGAAAAAGAAAUAAAAAUUGGUUCUCUUUCUCACCCAAAUUUACAAAAUCGAAAUUCGAAAAUUACGAGCAGCAUUUGAAUUAGAGGAGUGAUAAAGAAAGAGAUGUGAGAAAGUAGCUAGAAAUAGAUUCCUCAACCACCGUCAGGCGUCAGCUAGCCAGAGGAACGACAUUUUACGGUAGCAGCAAUGCCGGAGAUAAUAUACCUGCCGAGGACGGUCCAUUUCAUAUUUUCGACCAGCGAUUUGUGUAUCCUUUGAUCUGAUGGCGUCCCUCGGUCUCUACUGGUUUUCAGCUUUCCAAAAUAGCUGUAUGAGUUUCUCUCAAGCCUCAACAUAACUGACCUGAUGCAUACUAAAUUAGGUUUCCAGGCCACUAAUUGCUUGUGAAAGUUGUACAUUGAUUGAUAACUCAUGGGGUGUGUUAGCCAGCGAUAUGCUCACAUUAUAGACAGCAUCAAGGUCACCCUUACUAAUGUACAUAUUUAUCAUUUACUUGUCAUUGCUUCUCUAAGCAUUAGUUAUUUGCUUGUGAUCUCAGUAUCACCCUAAUUACCUCCCUUCGAAUCACGCCAAUGAAAUUUCGUCAUCAUUUGAUAUGUGAUUGAGAGAAUAUGCAGCAAGUCACUUGACAAAGUUUAUUCAUAUAUUUCUGUCAUCAAAAGCUUUACAAUGUUAUAUUGUAAGUAGGGCAACAAGUCUGCAGUUUCAUUAGUCUUUGAGAUAAAUCUUUAUGUAUAGAUAUCAUGGAGAACGUGGAUGUUCAAAAUGUCUGUGCAGAGCAAGAAAAGGUUGGAACAACUGAUUUUAUAAAUGAAAACCAAAGAGCUACUCCGUAAUAAGGUUAACAACCAUUUAUUUUGAUCUACUUGUCAAACUUAUCUAGUUUUUGUGACUUGUAUGUACAUUCACUAAUGCUGUAAAUAUGAGAUAUACAUGGCCACCACUCUCACUCUCACUCUCACUCAACACUCUUAAGUCUUAACUCGCAUUCUCACUCUCAACUACCACUGUAGCCCACCUCAGAAAGUCAGUUUCAAUUUUCAACUUAUUUUCAUAUUGUGCUAGCUGGUUUGAGGAGCUUGUUGAGUUGUGGUUGGAGUUUGCGUUUUAAUGUGAUUUUUGAGGUUGAGUUCGUAUUUAUUCCUCUUAUUUAGCUAAAAGCCAAAGAUUUAUUAAUAUUUUUUCUAUUCUGCUUCUGAUUAAACAUAGAGGCAAUAAAGAAGCUUCUGAAAUAUAUAUGCAGAAAGUAGCUAGGGAAUUCAUGGUGAAGGAUGAUUGUCUUGUUUUGAAUGAUAAGGUAGCCAGACACUUGUUUUUUAGGCUUAUUUUAGGCUUGUGAGGUACAAAUUCUUUUUUCAAUCUUGAGCGCUUAGUAAUUAAAAGCACGUUUAUAUCAUUACAUGUAAGGUGUGGAAUAAAUUGCUGAAAGUAGCUGACAUUCUAAAAAUUCUAUCUUAAACCAACAUCACCAACUUGUGGACCUUGUGGUUAAGGUAGGUAUUCUAUCUCUGUCAUGGAGCAAUUCUUUCCAGAGCUUUGCAGGCGCCAUUGACGAACCUCAGAACUUUCCAAGAAAUGGAAGAGUAAUUCUCCCAUUUGUGACACACAAAUAAACCUAUAUUUUGUUGAAUUGUUUUUCAUUUUUCAGUUGAGGUCUCUGUUUAAUUUGACUUAUUGCUUAAUUUUUUUAUUUUCCACCCACUCUUUUGAUUUAUUACCUGAAUUCAUAUCUAAUUAUAGUUCAUUUUAUGAGCUUUUCGGCUGAUAUAAUUUUUGCUUGAAUCCUUGAUUAUCUUCUUGUUUAUCUCUGAAUUGCUUACUUAUUUUUUUUAAAGGGCUCUAUAUCACUUACUUAAAAUUUGAUUUUGUAUUCCAAAUUUCAAGUUUUCAUGCUGAUGGACAUGUUAAAAAAUGAAAAAAAUGAUGGUUUACAAAAGUGGCCUUGUACUUGAGAUUACUUGUGGUGUAAGGUGUAUAGUGAUAUGAAUUGUCUUAAUGUACUUGUUUGGUUACUUUUUUGUUUAAAAUAGUACUAUUAUAUAUAUGGAACAUUGAGGGAAAAUAGGGUUUGGGUGUUCUCAUAUCUCUUUCUCUAUAUAUGUAUGCAGAGAAUCUGAGUGCUUAGUUUUGGCAAGUAGUCAAGCUGCUUGUGAUUUCUUUGGUUUAGAGUUCUUGAGAGUCAGGUGCUGGUUUAGUUUAUAUUCACGCAGCUCUUCUGCUUGUAUUAUUACAGCUGCUUGCUGUGUUGCUGGUCUCUACUGCUGCUGUUCACCUGCUGAUGUUGGUCGCUUGCCUCUCAAAGAUUGUAGUCGUUGUAGUUUUCUCAAUUAAUUUAAUUAGUGAAAUUUGAUUUUGUAACUUUUCCCUUUAAGGGCAAUAAUGUACGUAUUUCGCAUUAUAAUUAUUAUAUAUAAAUGAUACUUUAAUUUG